GACGAACGCUGGCGGCGUGCUUAACACAUGCAAGUCGAACGGAAAGGCCCUGCUUUUGUGGGGUGCUCGAGUGGCGACGGGUGAGUAACACGUGAGUAACCUGCCCUUGACUUUGGGAUAACUUCAGGAAACUGGGGCUAAUACCGGAUAGGAGCUCCUGCUGCAUGGUGGGGGUUGGAAAGUUUCGGCGGUUGGGGAUGGACUCGCGGCUUAUCAGCUUGUUGGUGGGGUAGUGGCUUACCAAGGCUUUGACGGGUAGCCGGCCUGAGAGGGUGACCGGCCACCUUGGGACUGAGAUACGGCCCAGACUCCUACGGGAGGCAGCAGUGGGGAAUAUUGCACAAUGGGCGGAAGCCUGAUGCAGCAACGCCGCGUGCGGGAUGACGGCCUUCGGGUUGUAAACCGCUUUCGCCUGUGACGAAGCGUGAGUGACGGUAAUGGGUAAAGAAGCACCGGCUAACUACGUG
rnacentral:rRNA from 1 species